rnacentral:rRNA from 1 species
CCUACGUGAGUCAGCAGUGGGGGAUAUUGGACAAUGGGGGGAACCCUGAUCCAGCGACGCCGCGUGAGUGAAGAAGUAUUUCGGUGUGUAAAGCUCUGUCAGCAGGGGAGAAAGAAAUGACGGUACCUGACCAAGAAGCCACGGCUAACUACGUGCCAGCAGCCGCGGUAAUACGUAGGGGGCAAGCGUUAUCCGGAAUUACUGGGUGUAAAGGGAGCGUAGACGGUUAAGUAAGUCUGGAGUGAAAGGCCGGGGCUCAACCCCGGGACUGCUCUGGAAACUAUUUAACUUGAGUGCAGGAGAGGUAGGCGGAAUUCCUAGUGUAGCGGUGAAAUGCGUAGAUAUUAGGAGGAACCCCAGUGGCGAAGGCGGCUUACUGGACUGUAACUGACGUUGAGGCUCGAAAGCGUGGGGAGCAAACAGGAUUAGAUACCCGAGUAGUC